rnacentral:lncRNA from 1 species
AUGCCUCUGAUCAGCCUGGACUCUGCAUCACUCCCUCUGUCUCUGCUGCCCGUGGGUCCCCUCACAUGCACAUCAAAACAAGAGAGAAGAGGAGUUCCUUCACGGCUCAGCAGAUUAAGGAUCUGGCAUUGUCCCUGCUGUGGCUCUGGUCACAGCUACAGUGUGGGUUCAAUCCCUGGCCCAGGAAAUUCCACAUGCAGCAGGCGUGGCCAAAAAAUAAAUAAAUAAAGAGAGAGUAAAAUAUGCGAUAAAACUCUGAUUUAUUUGAAAAUGUUUCCUGUUGAUUCUGUGAGUCAGUUUUGUUACUAGCAAAUAAUGACAAUUUGGUCUCCUCCAAGUCUUUGCUUGCACUAGGCAGAGCAAUCCUGAAUAUUGAUCUAUUAAUGGUGUUAGAAGACUUAUUUCUUUUUUUUUUUUUUUUGCUAUUUCUUUGGGCCGCUUCUGCGGCAUAUGGAGGUUCCCAGGCUAGGGGUCGAAUCGGAGCUGUAGCCGCCGGCCUACGCCAGAGCCACAGCAACGCGGGAUCUGAGCCGCGUCUGCAACCUACACCACAGCUCAGGGCAACGCCAGAUCCUUAACCCACUGAGCAAGGGCAGGGACCAAACCCGCAACCUCAUGGUUCCUAGUCGGAUUCGUUAACCACUGCGCCACGACGGGAACUCCAGAAGACUUAUUUCUUAUUUUUGGUCAUUGGGAACACAUGGCGAUUUGCUCUUCAGUGUAAUGCUGGCUGCUGUUUUCCAAUAUAUACUCUUCAUCAAAUUAAGGAUGUAUACAAUACUACUUAUAAAAUAGAUAACCAGCAAGGACCUACUGAAUCACACAGCAAGCUGUACUUAGUAUUUUGUAAUAACCCAUAAGGGGAAAGAAUCUAUAUAUUCCGAUACGUAUAUCUGGAUCAUUUCUAUACACCUGAAACUAGAACUACAUUGUAAAUCAACUAUAUGUCAAUUAAAAACUUGAUUGAAUUAAAAAGAUUGAGGAUAUUUAUCCUGUUCUUCGGUGACUAAGAAGGAAUGGUAGUUUUAGCAGAUGCCUUUUGCACGUUUAUCUAGAUGAUCAUUUGAUUUUUCUCUGAGACCUUUUGAUGAAGUAUUCUGUUGAGAAAUUUCCUACUGCCACACCGCCCUUGAGCUGUAAGAAUAAAACAUUGAAGUCAUUCUGCA